rnacentral:rRNA from 1 species
GACGAACCGUGCAAACGUUGUUCGGAAUCACUGGGCUUAAAGGGCGCGUAGGCGGUCGACCAAGUCCGGGGUGAAAUCUUUCGGCUUAACCGGAAAAGUGCCUUGGGUACUGGUCGGCUGGAGGGAGGUAGGGGCAGGUGGAACUUCCAGUGGAGCGGUGAAAUGCGUAGAUAUCACUUGGAACGCCAAUGGUGAAGACAGCUCGCUGGGGGUGUCCUGACGCUGAGGCGCGAAAGCCAGGGGAGCGAACGGG